rnacentral:lncRNA from 1 species
UCUGAAAAAUCAAGGGUGGAGAUGUAGCCACCCUUUUACGAGCCUCCACUCAAUUUUAUAAGAGAGGCUUGGUUUUCCAAGCCCUCUCUCUCUCCUCUUUUGGUGAAGGGCAAAGCCAUGCUAAAAUUUGGCCAAAAAUCCUAAUUUUAAUUUCAUUUAGAUUUUAAAUCUCAUUAUGAAUUUUUUGGGUGGAUGUGCAUGGAUUUUGAGUUGUGAAUGAUAGUCAAUUGGGUCUUAAAACACGUUUCAUUGUGGUGAAUAGCUCCCUUGGCCUCCCAAUUACUCCAAGGGUUUCAAGAGCCUCAGAUUUCCCUCCAUCAGUCAUUCAACUGUUUUAGUUCCAAUGUGAUUUUUUUUUGUGGUUGUAGCUUUCGUUGUUAGAUUUCCAAAAAGAUAAGGCUCGCUCCAUUUGGAGUUGAACUGAAU